AAAAGCCUUGCUUAUCUGGUUGUGAUGGGAUGGCAGUGUAUUGUUAGCUGGUUGAAUAUCUGAAUGCACCAGCUAACAUGCAACUGCUGUCCUAUUGCAUCUGCCACAUAGCAUAAAUUAA
rnacentral:pre_miRNA from 12 species